rnacentral:rRNA from 1 species
GAGGAGGUCGCGGCUGAUUAGCUGGUUGGCGGGGUAAUGGCCCACCAAGGCGAAGAUCGGUAGCCGGCCUGAGAGGGCGCACGGCCACACUGGAACUGAAACACGGUCCAGACUCCUACGGGAGGCAGCAGUGGGGAAUUUUGCGCAAUGGGGGAAACCCUGACGCAGCAACGCCGCGUGGAGGAUGAAGUCCCUUGGGACGUAAACUCCUUUCGACCGGGAAGAUAAUGACGGUACCGGUGGAAGAAGCCCCGGCUAACUUCGUGCCAGCAGCCGCGGUAAUACGAGGGGGGCAAGCGUUGUUCGGAAUUAUUGGGCGUAAAGGGCGCGUAGGCGGUGCGGUAAGUCACCUGUGAAAUCUCUGGGCUUAACUCAGAGCUUGCAGGCGAAACUGCCGUGCUGGAGUGUGGGAGAGGUGCGUGGAAUUCCCGGUGUAGCGGUGAAAUGCGUAGAUAUCGGGAGG